GAACGCACCUUGCACUCUUUGGUAUUCCGAAGAGUAUGUCUGUUUGAGUGUCAUGAAACUCUCAACCCCCUUGUUUUGUAAUGAAGCAGGCGUGGGCUUGGAUUAUGGCUGUCUGCUGGACUCUUUGAUUAGAGACCGGCUCGGCUGAAAUACACGAGUAACCCAGUUUGAAUAUUAACGGUUUGACUCGGCGUAAUAGCUUUAUUUCGCUGAGGACGUUUCAUAUCAAGAUAGUGGUGCUUCUAAUGCGUCGUAGCGUCAGCUGCACACCUUUAAGCUUUAGACCUCAAAUCAGUCAGGACUACCCGCUGAACUUAAGCAUAUCAAUAAGCGGAGGAAAAGAAACUAACAAGGAUUCCCCUAGUAACGGCGAGUGAAGUGGGAAAAGCUCAACUUUGAAAUCUGGCUGUUUUACAGUCCGAAUUGUAGUCUCGAGAAGUGUUUUCCGCGUUAAACCGUGUAUGAGUCUGUUGGAACACAGCGUCAUAGAGGGUGAGAACCCCGUUCAUGACACGGCUUUUAAUGCUUUGUGAUACAUUUUCGAUGAGUCGAGUUGUUUGGGAAUGCAGCUCAAAUUGGGUGGUAAAUUCCAUCUAAAGCUAAAUAUUGGCGAGAGACCGAUAGCAAACAAGUACCGUGAGGGAAAGAUGAAAAGCACUUUGGAAAGAGAGUUAAAAGUACGUGAAAUUGUCGAAAGGGAAACGCUUGAAGUCAGACGUGCACGGGAUUUAUUCCUAUUGCAGGCCAACAUCGGUUUUACGAGCCGGAUAAAGGUACAAGGAAGGUAGCAGUUUCGGCUGUGUUAUAGCCUCGUACUGAAUACGGAUUGUGAGACCGAGGGACGCAGCGCGCCGCAAGGCAAAGGGUCCGCCCUUC
rnacentral:rRNA from 1 species